CAAGCACAAAGGGCCAUCCACACAGUCACCCCAACACAAAGACACAGAGAGGAAGAGAGACACAAAGGGAGAAUUAGACAGGAGUUAACAAGAUAAGCUACAGCAGAACUUAGGAGCGCCCCAAGGGCCAACACCAAGACGCCUCUCCUACACGCCAACUUUCCUGUGCCGUGCACGAUAGAGACAUGACGGCAAUCUGGUCUCCCAGCAGGUCAGUUUGUUACAAUAUGGCGCCAGUCACGCCAAUGUCAAAGGCGGUCGGGUCUCCACGGCGACACACACACCAUGUCAUAAUGUGACUCACGGUUUCUAAAGGCGGCUGCUCACGGCUGGCUGUAAGUGAUGCCGAGUGGGAGCCAGGCAAUGGAGGGGCUGUAAUCACUGAUGUUUCUCCCUGCAUGCUAUCCGUGAUGAAGAACGCCGCGGAAAUAUCAUCGCCGUGGAAACCCAGAUGUGUUUAAGAGGGCUAAACAAACACAGUGAGCCCUGUCCUUCUCUUUCAUCUCCAGCGGUGUGAGCGGUGUACUUUAAUGGAACGGGGCACAUCACGCUGCCACUUGACGUCCGGUCCUGGUCUAACGCCUGGAAGAAGAGGGACAGAGAAAGGACACGGUCAUCACGGGGUACAUGGGGCUAUUUCUCAUUU